rnacentral:misc_RNA from 1 species
GAGCUCUUUAGGGUGGCCGAUGAUCUGUCUCCUUCCAUUGUUUUUAUUGAUGAAAUAGAUGCUGUUGGUACUAAGAGAUAUGACGCUCAUUCAGGAGGAGAGCGUGAAAUUCAAAGGACAAUGUUGGAGUUGCUAAAUCAGUUAGAUGGGUUUGACUCACGGGGAGAUGUUAAGGUUAUUCUUGCUACAAACAAAAUCGAGAGUCUUGAUCCGGCACUGCUUCGACCUGGCCGAAUUGAUAGGAAAAUUGAAUUUCCUCUACCUGAUAUUAAAACAAGGCGUCGCAUUUUCCAGAUACAUACAUCAAGAAUGACAUUGUCAAGUGAUGUCAACCUGGAAGAAUUUGUUAUGACCAAGGAU